GUUAUUUUUAACCGACGUAAAACAUUAUUCUAAACAAAAAAUUGUUCAACUGUAUGUCUCUAAAAUGCACUGAUAUUUUUAUAAAAAAAAAUUGCACGUAAUU